UAAGGAAUAUUGGUCAAUGGACGCAAGUCUGAACCAGCCAUGCCGCGUGGAGGAUGAAGGUCCUCUGGAUUGUAAACUUCUUUUAUAUGGGACGAAAAAGGGCUUUUCUAAGUCAACUGACGGUACCAUAUGAAUAAGCACCGGCUAACUCCGUGCCAGCAGCCGCGGUAAUACGGAGGGUGCAAGCGUUAUCCGGAUUCACUGGGUUUAAAGGGUGCGUAGGUGGGUUGGUAAGUCAGUGGUGAAAUCCCCGAGCUUAACUCGGGAACUGCCAUUGAUACUAUCAGUCUUGAAUACCGUGGAGGUCAGCGGAAUAUGUCAUGUAGCGGUGAAAUGCUUAGAUAUGACAUAGAACACCAAUUGCGAAGGCAGCUGGCUACACGAUUAUUGACACUGAGGCACGAAAGCGUGGGGAUCAAACAGGAUUAGAUACCCUGGUAGUCCACGCCCUAAACUAUGGAUACUCGACAUACGCGAUAC
rnacentral:rRNA from 1 species